rnacentral:lncRNA from 1 species
CACCGAAGUCUGCAAAGGAAGCACGCACAGUAAGGAACUGAGCAUCAAACAAUGCCUGGUCCUCACCACCAUGAGUCCCAUCACCAUGGGCCACCUCACCAUGGGCCCCCUCACCAUGGACCACCACAUCAUUGGCCACCUCACCAUGGACCACCUCACCAUGGACCACCUCACCAUGGACCACCUCACCACGGACCACCUCACCAUGGCCCUCCUCAUUUUGGCCCCCCUCAUCAUCAUGGUCCUCCUCCUCCACGCCCCAGAGAAUGCUGCACUAUAAUUUGAUGAAGUUUCUACCACUACUGUUCAACAAAGACUGAUUGGAUGUAAAGAGAACUAAACAUGUUCUCUCUUUUAGUGAUAAUACAAUUUUUUAAAAUAAUAAUAUUAUUAUGUAACUAGACUCAUUAUUUUCAAGUGCUAUAUACAGUCCUUUAUCAUAGAUAUUUUACAAGAAGCACAGUAUUUUUUAUCUUACUUUUUGAACUAUUGUCUGUAUACUGUAUUUAUUUCUAAUUAUAACUCUUCAUUAAAACAAAUUUAUUGUUACACUUUCCAGAGAUUGUUGCACCGCUUACACUUGAAAAUGUGUUAUUGAACUUUGUUAAACGAAGAGUCAUAAACUGUUCUUGUAAUUUCUUAAUGUCUACUUGGUCAAAGGACAUCCCACAGUAUCAGAGUUUGUGGCACAAAUGACUGAAACUAUUAAAAUAUCACGCAAUUUAAGAAUCAACUAAUUCUGUAAACCAGUAUAUUUUGUAAAAUAUACUUACUUUCUACAUUUGAAAAACAGCUUCCAACACAUGGUUUACAACUCACAAAACAUUAAUACAACCUCUGGGACUUAUAAAACGCAGUUGUUGUGACUAUAAUCCACAACAUGUAUUUCCUGUACAUAGUAAAUUUUCUGAGGUCAAAAAAUAAUUAACAAAACCUUUGGAUUUCAUCUCCUGUGAAACUAUAUUGGAAUCAGUUAACAAAUGAUUCCAUUACUUUGUUCAUUAACUGUGUGCUGUAGAUCACAUCAAGAACCUUCAAGGAUGCUAAAGUAUACAGUAACAUAAGAGAAGCAACUACUAAAAAUUUAAUCUGUUCACUGUAUUAGCAAUCAACAAUUUAUGAAGCACACUGUAAAUGACUUUCUUAGGAAGCUACAAAAUAUACAAACACGAUCAUUUUUCUUGUUUAGCUUUAGGAUUUAGUUUCUAGGGUACUGUAUCACUUUCUCCAUGAAAAAUCCUUUACGUGCCAGCCUGAACAGCAGUUAACAUGUUUCGCUCAGAAUGAUGAGUUAGUACUCUACUGCAUCGAAAGGAACGUCAACCAAGAAAACUGUUAAAUUAUGAUACAAAUCUGACAAGUCAUAACUUCAGAAAGCGAAAUAUUUGUUACUGCCAAUAGACAUGUAAAAGUAUACAUCACUAUCCAGCUUUUGAAACGUCCAAACCCAUGUGUUAGCUAAAAGCUAAGUUGAUCAUAAUAAGGAUGUCCUCAGUAGAGGUUGGUCCCUCUCAUCUUGAAGUCUGAGUAUCCUACCCUUCCUUUUCUACCCAUCCCAAACCUAUACAUUUCUCCAGCCUGAGAAACUAAUAGUUCCAAAAACUAGGAAAGUGUUGCGUACUUUUAAUCUUCUGUUAUAGGUCACAUGCUCAAAAGCAUUUGAAAAAAAAUGUCAAACUGACUGGUAAACAAAGAUUAUUCAUUUUUCUUACAUUUAAGUAGCUCUAAGGAGAUUUACAGUGUAACAUACACAAAAAAGAAAACCAAAGUAUGAUAAUUAUUUUCUGAAGAAGAUAAUGGACCAUAAGGCCAACAACAAACUAAUACUAUCAGAGGCCUGGGACAGCAGAACUAAAUGAGGCCCCCCAUCUGCUUUAAAAAUUGAGUUAUUUGUAGAGCACAUUUUGUAGAAUAUAAUUAAUAUAUAUAUAUAAUGGCUGACAAAGAUCAAAUAUUUAUAAUGAGUACACUCAAUGCUAAUUGUAAUUUAUACAUUUUAAAAUAUAGGUGAGAAACAGAAUACAAAUCAAUUAAUCAAUUAACACAACAGCCAUCAGGUAGAAUGCUAAGAAAUAACUAAGAAUAUACCAAGAAGGUUGUCUUUUAUUUUAAAUGUCUGAAUACAAAGCAUCUAAAAUUCUACUAUCAGUUACUUUCAUAACCUCAGUACAAGAUAGUAGUUACUAUUGAUAUUAUUAUAGUCCAUGUUUUUGUGCCUUUAUUUUACUGAAAUUCGCAAUGACAUCAAUAAAUUCGAUUUCAUCUGAAA